CCAAUAGCGUAUAUUAAAGUUGUUGCAGUUAAAAAGCUCGUAGUUGAAUUUCGGGGUCAGUAGGUUGGUCGUGCCACCGGUACGUACUGGUCUCACUGAUUCCUCCUUCCUGAUGAGCUGUAAUGCCAUUAAUUUGGUGUUGCAGGGAAUCUGGACUGUUACUUUGAAAAAAUUAGAGUGUUUAAAGCAGGCUAACGCUUGAAUACAUUAGCAUGGAAUAAUGAAAUAGGACGUUCGAUCCUAUUUUGUUGGUUUCUAGGAUUGACGUAAUGGUUAAUAGGGAUAGUUGGGGGCAUUAGUAUUCAAUUGUCAGAGGUGAAAUUCUUGGAUUUAUUGAAGACUAACUACUGCGAAAGCAUUUGCCAAGGAUGUUUUCAUUAAUCAAGAACGAAAGUUAGGGGAUCGAAGACGAUCAGAUACCGUCGUAGUCUUAACCAUAAACUAUGCCGACUAGGGAUCGGAUGAUGUUAAUUUUUUAAUGACUCAUUCGGCGCCUUACG
rnacentral:rRNA from 1 species